UGUGGGAGCUGGCUUGCCUGCGAUGCGGGCGCCUCGGUGUUACAGAGGGACCGAGUAGAAGCCAUCGCAGGCAAGCCAGCUCCCACA
rnacentral:antisense_RNA from 1 species